UGGAUGGUAAGGAUUUAGGUUAAGGCUAGGGCUAGGAUUGGGAUGGUGGUGGGGAGGGUUAGGAUUAGUGCUGGGGUUAGGAUUAGGGUUUGGUCCACGGAAGUGGGGAUGGCAGUGGGUCAAGGUUAAGGUUUGGAUGACAAAGGUGGAGAUGGCGGACGGUUAGGGUUGGGAUGGUAAGGGUUCAAGUUAUGGCUAGGGCUG
rnacentral:lncRNA from 1 species